rnacentral:rRNA from 1 species
GCAGUCAGUGGAUGCCUUGGGAGUGUGUGCCGAAGAAGGACGUUUCAAGCCGGCGAAAGUCGACGGGGAGGUGGCUAAGAACUGUUAAUCCGUCGGUGUCCGAAUGGGGAAACCCACCCCGCUCAGCGGGGGGUUCUCGCCUUGUGCGAGAUCGGGAACUUGGGGAACUGAAAUAUCUAAGUACCCAGAGGAAAAAAAAUCGAAUGAGAGGCCCUUAGUAAGCGACGAGCGAAAAGGGCUGUAGUCCAAACCACGAUUUAUCGUGGGGUUGUAGGGUCAGACAUACGCUUUAGAAAAGAUAACAGAACACUGUGGAAUAGGUGACCAAAGAGAGUGAGAGUCUCGUAAGUGAAAUUUUUUCUAAAGUAGUUUGAUACCUGAGUACUUCUAGAGACGGCAAACUCUAGAUCGAAUCCGGGCCGACCACGGUCCAAGACUAUAUACGCACACUCACCGAUAGUGAACUAGUACCGCGAGGGAAAGGUGAAAAGAAGGGUCUGAAACCCAAUGAAAAGUACCUGAAACUGAUUGCUAACAAACAGACGGAGCCCCGCUCAGCGGGGUGA